rnacentral:rRNA from 1 species
GGGCCCGCACAAGCGGUGGAGCAUGCGGUUUAAUUCGAUGCAACGCGAAAAAACCUUACCUACCCUUGACAUAGUUGGAAUUUUACAGAGAUGUAGAAGUGCCUUCGGGAACCAACAUACAGGUGCUGCAUGGCUGUCGUCAGCUCGUGUCGUGAGAUGUAGGGUUAAGUCCCAUAACGAGCGCAACCCUUGUCCUUAGUUACCAGCGAGUUAAGUCGGGGACUUUAAGGAUACUGCCGGUGAUAAACCGGAGGAAGGUGGGGACGAUGUCAAGUCAUCAUGGCCCUUACGGGUAGGGCUACACGCGUGCUACAAUGGUUGUUACAGAGGGAAGCGAACUCGCGAGGGCAAGCAAA